UACGGAGGGUGCAAGCGUUAUCCGGAUUCACUGGGUUUAAAGGGUGCGUAGGUGGGUCUGUAAGUCAGUGGUGAAAUCUCCAGGCUUAACCUGGAAACUGCCAUUGAUACUAUAGGUCUUGAAUUUUCUGGAGGUUAGCGGAAUAUGUCAUGUAGCGGUGAAAUGCUUAGAUAUGACAUAGAACACCAAUUGCGAAGGCAGCUGGCUACAGGAAUAUUGACACUGAGGCACGAAAGCGUGGGGAUCAAACAGG
rnacentral:rRNA from 1 species